AUUGAACGCUGGCGGCAGGCCUAACACAUGCAAGUCGAACGAGUGGCGGACGGGUGAGUAAUGUCUGGGAAACUGCCUGAUGGAGGGGGAUAACUACUGGAAACGGUAGCUAAUACCGCAUACCAUCGGAUGUGCCCAGAUGGGAUUAGCUAGUAGGUGGGGUAAAGGCUCACCUAGGCGACGAUCCCUAGCUGGUCUGAGAGGAUGACCAGCCACACUGGAACUGAGCCACGGCCCAGCCUCCUACGGGAGGCAGCAGUGGGGAAUAGUGCACAAUGGGAGCAAGCCGGAUGCAGCCAUGCCGCGUGUGUGAAGAAGGUCUUCGGGUUGUAAAGUACGUUCAGCGGGGAGGCGUUACCCGCAGAAGAAGCACCGGCUAACUCCGUGCCAGCCGCCGCGGUAAUAC
rnacentral:rRNA from 1 species